rnacentral:rRNA from 1 species
UUGCUGGAGUACUCGAGUGGCGAACGGGUGAGUAACACGUGGGUAAUCUGCCCUGCACUCUGGGAUAAGCCUGGGAAACUGGGUCUAAUACUGGAUAUGACCUUUCUCCUUAUGGGGUUUGGUGGAAAGUUUUUCGGUGUAGGAUGAGCCCGCGGCCUAUCAGCUUGUUGGUGGGGUGAUGGCCUACCAAGGCGACGACGGGUAGCCGGCCUGAGAGGGUGAUCGGCCACAUUGGGACUGAGAUACGGCCCAGACUCCUACGGGAGGCAGCAGUGGGGAAUAUUGCACAAUGGGCGGAAGCCUGAUGCAGCGACGCCGCGUGAGGGAUGACGGCCUUCGGGUUGUAAACCUCUUUCAGCAGGGACGAAGCGUAAGUGACGGUACCUGCAGAAGAAGCACCGGCUAACU